rnacentral:rRNA from 1 species
GAUGAACGCUGGCGGCGUGCCUAAUACAUGCAAGUCGAGCGAACGGACGAGAAGCUUGCUUCUCUGAUGUUAGCGGCGGACGGGUGAGUAACACGUGGAUAACCUACCUAUAAGACUGGGAUAACUUCGGGAAACCGUAGCUAAUACCGGAUAAUAUUUUGAACCGCAUGGUUCAAAAGUGAAAGACGGUCUUGCUGUCACUUAUAGAUGGAUCCGCGCUGCAUUAGCUAGUUGGUAAGGUAACGGCUUACCAAGGCAACGAUGCAUAGCCGACCUGAGAGGGUGAUCGGCCACACUGGAACUGAGACACGGUCCAGACUCCUACGGGAGGCAGCAGUAGGGAAUCUUCCGCAAUGGGCGAAAGCCUGACGGAGCAACGCCGCGUGAGUGAUGAAGGUCUUCGGAUCGUAAAACUCUGUUAUUAGGGAAGAACAUAUGUGUAAGUAACUGUGCACAUCUUGACGGUACCUAAUCAGAAAGCCACGGCUAACUACGUGCCAGCAGCUGCGGUAAUACGUAGGUGGCAAGCGUUAUCCGGAAUUAUUGGGCGUAAAGCGCGCGUAGGCGGUUUUUUAAGUCUGAUGUGAAAGCCCACGGCUCAACCGUGGAGGGUCAUUGGAAACUGGAAAACUUGAGUGCAGAAGAGGAAAGUGGAAUUCCAUGUGUAGCGGUGAAAUGCGCAGAGAUAUGGAGGAACACCAGUGGCGAAGGCGACUUUCUGGUCUGUAACUGACGCUGAUGUGCGAAAGCGUGGGGAUCAAACAGGAUUAGAUACCCUGGUAGUCCACGCCGUAAACGAUGAGUGCUGAGUGUUAGGGGGUUUCCGCCCCUUAGUGCUGCAGCUAACGCAUUAAGCACUCCGCCUGGGGAGUACGACCGCAAGGUUGAAACUCAAAGGAAUUGACGGGGACCCGCACAAGCGGUGGAGCAUGUGGUUUAAUUCGAAGCAACGCGAAGAACCUUACCAAAUCUUGACAUCCUUUGACAACUCUAGAGAUAGAGCCUUCCCCUUCGGGGGACAAAGUGACAGGUGGUGCAUGGUUGUCGUCAGCUCGUGUCGUGAGAUGUUGGGUUAAGUCCCGCAACGAGCGCAACCCUUAAGCUUAGUUGCCAUCAUUAAGUUGGGCACUCUAAGUUGACUGCCGGUGACAAACCGGAGGAAGGUGGGGAUGACGUCAAAUCAUCAUGCCCCUUAUGAUUUGGGCUACACACGUGCUACAAUGGACAAUACAAAGGGCAGCGAAACCGCGAGGUCAAGCAAAUCCCAUAAAGUUGUUCUCAGUUCGGAUUGUAGUCUGCAACUCGACUACAUGAAGCUGGAGUCGCUAGUAAUCGUAGAUCAGCAUGCUACGGUGAAUACGUUCCCGGGUCU